rnacentral:rRNA from 1 species
AUUGAACGCUGGCGGCAUGCUUUACACAUGCAAGUCGAACGGCAGCGCGGGGCAACCUGGCGGCGAGUGGCGAGCGGGUGAGUAAUACAUCGGAACGUACCCAGAAGUGGGGGAUAACGUAUCGAAAGUUACGCUAAUACCGCAUACGUUCUACGGAAGAAAGUGGGGGACCUUCGGGCCUCAUGCUUUUGGAGCGGCCGAUGUCUGAUUAGCUAGUUGGUAGGGUAAAGGCCUACCAAGGCGACGAUCAGUAGCUGGUCUGAGAGGACGACCAGCCGCACUGGGGCUGAGACACGGCCCAGAAUCCGACGGGAGGUAGCAGUGGGGAAUUUUGGAAAAUGGGCGCAAGCCUGAUCCAGCAAGGCCGCGUGAGUGAAGAAGGCUGUCGGGUUGUAAAGCUCUUUUGUCAGGGAAGAAACGGCUGAGGUUAAUACCUUCGGCUAAUGACGGUACCUGAAGAAUAAGCACCGGCUAACUACGUGCCAGCCGCCGCCGUAA